GACGAACGCUGGCGGCGUGCUUAACACAUGCAAGUCGGACGGAAAGGCCCUGCUUUUGUGGGGUGCUCGAGUGGCGAACGGGUGAGUAACACGUGAGUAACCUGCCCUUGACUUUGGGAUAACUUCAGGAAACUGGGGCUAAUACCGGAUAGGAGCUCCUGCUGCAUGGUGGGGGGUGGAAAGUUUCGGCGGUUGGGGAUGGACUCGCGGCUUAUCAGCUUGUUGGUGGGGUAGUGGCUUACCAAGGCUUUGACGGGUAGCCGGCCUGAGAGGGUGACCGGCCACAUUGGGACUGAGAUACGGCCCAGACUCCUACGGGAGGCAGCAGUGGGGAAUAUUGCACAAUGGGCGGAAGCCUGAUGCAGCAACGCCGCGUGCGGGAUGACGGCCUUCGGGUUGUAAACCGCUUUCGCCUGUGACGAAGCGUGAGUGACGGUAAUGGGUAAAGAAGCACCGGCUAACUACGUG
rnacentral:rRNA from 1 species